UGUGUGUGUGUGUGUGUGUGUGUGUGCAUUAUGUGUGUGUAUGCACAUACAUGCAUACAUGCACAUUGUGUACACACACACAACACACAAGUG